CCACCAAUGAAUAGUCUCCAGCCCUAUUUUACCAUCCUUCCAAUACUGGUGUUGCUAAAAUAUUUUAGCUGGAAAGAAGAGAAGAAAGUAAUGAGGAAUUGGAAUGAGUGAUUUAUGGCAGCAGAAGAUGCUGCUGGUGGCCCAGCAGGAUGUCUGUGAAGAUAGCUACUACUGUGCAGGAACACAGAGUUCUAUAUCUUCCUGGAAUAUCUGGAGCAACAGAUCCCACGGCUCUCCCACCGGUUUUACUGUGUGCAUUAAUCAGCGACCUGAAAUCUAAAAAGAAGGAGGAGAAAUACUGGCUCACAACAUAACAGAUAAAUUUAAGAACAAAGUAAGUGUCUUCAGUAAUAUGGACAUCCCCUACAGUUCAAUAAGAAAUGGAUUAAUCACUUAAAAAGCCAGAAGAUAGACAUUAUGAGAAGUCUGGAUACUCAGUGAAUUCAAUUCCCAAUAGUGGAGUGAUUUAAAACAAUCUUGUAGCAAAUAAUAUUUAAGGAAAUAGUAGGGCAGCAUAUAAGAGAAGCAGUACUUAUGGUGCAACUUUGACAGAGAAGCCAAAUGACAAGCUGGUAUUUAUUAAUUACAUCCUAUCUUUCCAUGGGUGACCUCAAAACAGUGCACAAUGAUCUCUCCCUUUCUCAACUGAUGAGGAGAAAAAUUGCAAAUGUACUUUAUAUCCCUGUUGUGUACAGUUACCAAAAUAAAACAUUUUUUAAAUGGGAA